AACGUGCGAACUAGCGAGCGAGCGAGCGAAGCCUCCAGGUGCCCUCGAGCGACGCCACACCAGAUCCCCUCGCCGUUGCCCUCGCCCUCGCAGCCGCCGCCGAUCCCCUCUCCCAUCUUCCUCCCUCAAACGCUAACCCGUCUCGCGGUGCGCCACCGCCCGCCGCGGCCGCCCCCGCCACCUCCCGCCGCGGCCGCCGCCCCAGCUCCAGCCGUGGCCGUCGCGCCCAGAUCCAGCCGCGGCCGCUGCCCUGCGUGCCAACGACCCCUUCCCCCGCCGCCGCGCCACAGGUGCCGCCAUGGCCGCGUCAUGGAGCUCGCCGCCAUGGGCUGCGUGCCCCUCCGAUGAUGGCCUGCCUCGCCCACGUCCAGGUCCUCUCAAUCCUAAUUUGGGUGUCCAUUUAUUUUGCGCUUGAUCCUGGUUUUAGUGGGGUUUUCGUCCUCGUCGCGUGUUUCAUGGUGGCCGCUAGGGUGCCACUGCCGGCCAUCUGCCAUCUGCUCCAGGGGCCCCCUCCAGGAACACACAGCGACUGCUAAGCCAUCGUCCUGUUUUGCUUCUCCCUACACAUCCUUACUAAGAGAAAGGGGCCUGCCCAGCUAGCAGCAGCUUCCUAGCUGGAAGAUGCAUAGCCAUAACGCACGCAUGGAUUAGGAGCAGUUUAUCACGCAGCUUGUACGCAUGCCGCCGCCGCCUUUUCACCUCGUGCCUAUAUCGUGGCGGGUGAACAAGGGAAUCUCGCUGGAGACCCUUUUGGAAGGGAUCUCGGUGGCGCACUGCCGUUGCGUGUCGUUCGUCGGUAUAAGCAUUGCCGGACGGUCGAUGUCCGCUGUACGUUUCAUUAGCUAUAUGUUUCUGCAGUUUGAUAUAAUGUUUUUGUGGCGUAGAUCUACAAGAGAUCAAGAAGGGUGAUGUUCUGGAUGCUGAUCUCGACUAAUAGUUGCCGGAUGAACUAUGCAAUGACAACAUGAAUGAGCUUUGUGUGCAGUUCACAUUUACCUGGUGGACCAUCACCAACCGGAUGGAGGUGAAGCAAGUGGGCAAGUCAGGGAAAUGCUCGGAAGGCUAUCGAGAAGAUCAACGAUCUUAACCCCACGAUCCUAAUUUCAGUUUGUACCUCGUUGUUGGGCUGUCAGAAAAGUUUGGAGCAGGAGCAAUGAUAUGACAAUUGUGGCUAACUUUCUUGUCAUUAGUCAUAUAUGUGCUAAUGGACCUUCCGGGUUCUCCAUUAUGUUUACCGGCCGGUUUCUCAUCUGAAAAAUACCCCAUAGCAUAGUGGACAAUGCUUUUUUUGGUCAGAAGUAGUAUUUCUACAUGAAACUAAGUUAUAUAUGCGUAUGAGAAAUGUGGCUUAUCUUUUGAUAAUGCUUUUUUUGUUAGAAGUUGUUUUUCUACAUGAAAUUAAGGUAUAUAUGCGUAUGAGAAAUUAUAUCUUUGCUUAACUCAAAAAAUUGUAUUUGCUCCUUUUAGCGGGAGCCUGGAGGUGAUACGGUUUGUACAUCAUGGUUUGAAUAAGAUAUUGUUUGUAUACUGUUGAGUGAAGUAUUGUAUAACUACUGUAAAGUGGGUGUAGGUUUUUAUUGUGCAUUUUUCACAGAGGUUUGGGCGUUUGGACACAACCAUAUGUACAAGUUGAAGCCUUCAUUUGCAAGCAUUUCUUUAGGAAACAGAGAAAAUCACAGCAACUAUUUGAUGUUUCUCGACGCUUGAAGACAACAAGUGAAGUUGUUGCUACCAUCUUACAAGCCAAAGUCAUGAGAAAGCCGGGUGUUAAAAUGUUGGGAGAUUACAAAGUUCAUGCUCUAUUCACACAUGGUGGAGGCAACCCAACAAGUUGUUGUGGGAGCCAGCAGAGAAAGGAGUCGAGGAACCCGCAUCAUGGGAGAGUCAUCGAGGGGCAUCCGGAUAAAGCCUAUAUACUGGAUGAGAUUCUCAUUGCCGGCAUUUUUCAUGAACCUAUCAAGGAGAACAUUUCAAUACUAAUUGCAGCACAUGUUUUCUCACCACCGGCUAGCAAGAAGAGAGUAUGAUUUUCUAAUGCUCAGUGUUGUAAGCUUGAUUCACGAGGAGCUUCUCAAUGUUGUACAUGUUGUUUGUGAGUAACAGAAAUAAAUCAUUUCCUGGAAUCAGACGCUAUAUUUUCUGUGGGAAUUAAACCAUUUCCUGGAAUCAGACGCUAUAUUUUCUGUGGGAAUUCGUUGACACAGUUCCUUACAACACUGAGAAUCUUUGAAGUGGGCAAACCGCUCUAUGUAAUUCUAUCACCCAUUCUGAUUUUGAGACAAGUAUAUCAGUUAUCUUUUUCCUUCUAGCAAGGCUAUCUGGAAUGAUUGCAUGUAUUAAUGAAGUAGUCCACGUUAGGUGGAUUGGCUCAAAAUGGAGAAGCAUGAUUGUAUUAAGCAUUUAAGCUCUAAGCAAUUUAGAAUGUCAAUGUCUUGGGGCUCCCUUGCAAUAUUUCAGAGAACUAUAUUUUUCCAGACAUUUUAUAUUGCCUCAUGAUAUUUGGGGGAUCUGAUUAGGUAUUGUUUCUCUAUAUAUCUAUCUAUCUCUCUAUUUUAGUUGCUAAUAGAAUAAUGAACAAUUGAUAGGACUAAUCUUAUAGACUUGUGUUCUCCUCAAUCCGACUGUGUAUUUUCCAAGUUUUGUGCUAAAACGGGAAAAAACAUAUGUUUUAAACUUGCGACAACAUAUUC